GCCCCGUUCGUCUAGCGGCCUAGGACGCCGGCAGCUCUCACGCCGGUAACACGGGUUCAAAUCCCGUACGGGGUAC
rnacentral:tRNA from 1 species